CCGCCGUUCUCCGCUGCCGUCUCUUCAUAUCUGCAGCUGGAAUUCUUACCAUUGUUAUCCUCUCAGUUCUUCUUCUCCCUUAUCUCUCCCGGUCGGCCAGGCGCUUGUGGAUUUUUCUCGCUGCCCAGCUUGCUCCAGCUUGGUGCCAAGCCGCCGGAAAAAUCCUGCCGCCCAGCCGCCGUUCGGUGGUAUUUAUGCCCCUGCCAGUCGCGUUCUUCGUUGUCCCCAUGCCGUGAUUCCACCGUGGGGCUGCUCCAGCCGAGCACCCUCUAUUCUCAGCUCGUCUGCUCAUCUCUCUCCUCUGCCGCGCCGGUCCAGCAAGCUCAAGCCAUGUCGCGCCCAAUCCAUGGCGUCCAGUUUUCUCCUAAGCGUCGGCUCCCUGCUCAGCUCGUCUGAGCGUGCGCGCCACCUGCUCCUCUCAGC
rnacentral:misc_RNA from 1 species